GGGGACACGUGAUGCUAAUGUAUAACGGGUACGGAUUCAUCAAAGACCGCCAAACGGCGAAGACCUGCAACUGGAAGUGUUCGCUGUUCCGAAGGAUGAAAUGUCGUGGGCGAGCCAUUACCAAAAUCGCCGACGAUCCCCCGAGCUUUAGGGCAGCUCAGUUCGGUUACACCCAACGUGGAAAGAUGAUGCUCCUGUACGAUGGUUUCGCCUACAUCAAAGAUCGUGAUGCCCGGAACAGCUGCAACUGGAAGUGUUCGGUGGCCGGAAAGCGAAAAUGUCGCGCCAGAGCCGUUACCAAGACGGCCCUUGGACGCCAAAUGAUGAAAAUUACCAACCCCAAUCACAACCACGACCGAAAAGCGUAUCGAUUCGAUACGGUGAAUUUCUUUGCCGACAAGAAAUCAAAUUAUCAUUUGUGCAUUGUACUGCUUAGUGUUUCAAUUGAUAACUAUACUGCGGUAGACAUCUCUAUGUGACUUUUGGAGCUAACUGUCCUCUUCAUCAUUUUAGAACUAUUCGCUAAUGCAUACUUUGGAAAAACUCGACGCGGUCACCAAAUGCUUCUGCAUGAAAAUUACAGCUACGUGCGGGAGAAGCAGAAGCAAAGUACCACCAACUGGAAGUGCUCCUGGCAUGUCAAAUUUCGUUGUAAGGCGCGAGCAGUGACGAAAGAAAUCGAGGGUCAGCAUUUUGUUCGAAUAACCUGCGGUUUCCAUACCCAUCCUCCGAACAAUGGCUCCAAGUCUGGUGAUGCGUCGAAAAACUACCACGAGAACUAUUAGACAGUGGAAAAUGGUACCAUGGUAUACUACGACCAAACACUGGCUCUGUGCAACCGAAGCAUUUGAUAUUAUUUUGUUAAUCAUACAUUGCCAGAGUAAACUUUAAAUACAAA